UACGAAGGGGGCUAGCGUUGCUCGGAAUCACUGGGCGUAAAGCGCACGUAGGCGGAUUGUUAAGUCGGGGGUGAAAUCCUGGAGCUCAACUCCAGAACUGCCUUCGAUACUGGCGAUCUCGAGUCCGGGAGAGGUGAGUGGAACUCCGAGUGUAGAGGUGAAAUUCGUAGAUAUUGGGAAGAACACCAGUGGCGAAGGCGGCUCACUGGCCCGUAACUGACGCUGAGGUGCGAAAGCGUGGGGAGCGAACAGG
rnacentral:rRNA from 1 species